rnacentral:tRNA from 1 species
GCCUGGCUGGCUCAGUUGGUGGAGCAUGUGACUCUUGAUCUCGGGCUUGUGAGUUCAAGCCUCACAUUGGGUG